rnacentral:lncRNA from 1 species
UUCUUAAAAAAGAUUAUUCUUAAAAAGUAAACACGAUCUGUCGAUUUUUCCUGAGGUCUCCCUGUUGGGCCCUCACUUCUCCAUUUGGUUGCCAGGGAGAAGUCACUUCUUUCUGUGUGGUGACCCUUGGUGAUAAGGGUAAGUUGGUAUAUAGAUUCCUUGCAAGAUCUACAUGUUGGGCAGACAUGAUUCAUCUGACCUCAACCUCAUGGAUCAGUGAUAAGGGUAAGUUUACGUGGUAAAGUUAUUAUCUCGGAUACUAUCAGCAACAGGUCAAUUAUAUUUGGCAUAUGUGAUGACUGUAUAGUGUACAUGCCCAACUGGUAAUUUUAUUUCAUGCAUGGUCUAUUUGUUGGAAUCAUAAGCAAUAGGUCAACUAUAGAUUGUGUACAGAACGAUUGUUAUGUGAUGUCAUCCAGCAGGUUUCAUCUGACCUUGACCUAAUUUGCAUUGGCCAUUUGUAAAAUGUUAUGGAAUAAUUGCAUGGUGUUUAUGUUGUCUGACCUUGACCUCAACUUAUGUAAUUAUAUUUGGUAUAUGAGUUCCUUGCAAGGUUUUACUGACUUCACCUGUUUUCCUUGUUACUUGGUCAAGUCAAUUUCUCAGGCCAUAUAGCAAUAGGUCAUCUAUUUUUGCAGUAUGGAAUUAUUAAAAAUUUUAAACGUCGACGUCUGACUAGCAGGUUUCAUUUGUCCAUGACCUCAUUUUCAUAGUUCAUCUGACAAUUUAUAGUUUUUGUGGUUAAGUCUCUUUAAUCAAUAAGACCACAACAUUAGGUGUAUUGUAUGAUUGUAAGGUGUACCGUUGCAUGUCCUGCUGGUAGGUCUUAUUGGACACUGACCUUAUUUUCAGGUUUCAUCAGUCAAUGUUUAAGUUUUUUGUGUUUUGAUCUUUUUCUCUGGUACUAUAAACAAUAGGACUACUAAAUUUGAUAUACAGAAUGAUUGUAAGGUGUUCAUGUCUGCCUGCAAUGAUUCAUCUGACCUUGACCCCAUUGUUAUGAAUCAUCAAUGUUAAGUAACAGUGAUUGAAUACUGAUAAGAAUCACAUAUAUUAAGGAUUCUAACAAACAUAGAACCAGGUGCUCCGCAGGGCGCAGCUUUAUACGACCGCAGAGGUCGAACCCUGAACAGUUGGGGCAAGUAUGGACAAAACAUUCAAGCGUGAUACAGCUCUGAAUUUGGAUUGUGAUCAAAUUUUUGACAUUACAUGGUUUUUUUUUACACAAAACAAAUGUCAAGAUUUUACAAAUCAAUUAAAGAUUUCUUCUUCAAACUUUUUAAAUCUAAAAUUAAAUAGUUGAUCAUGACACAGCAUAGGUUUCUGACACAGAACGAAUGUGGUCUAAUGAACUUAAAAGUUUUUUUUGCCUUUGAGCAAUUCACUAUGCUGUUGAAUAUUAAUCCUCUCAAAAAAAUGUUUGAAGAAAUUUUCUUUUUAUUUAUGAAAUCUGAAAUGAGAAAAAUUUAAACCCCCCCCCCCUUUUUUUCACAUCCCCGUUUCCCUUUUUCCAAAACUGAUAUCAAUUCAAAUUUCUAAUGGAGUUUGCAACAAUAACUACUCUUUUAAAUACAUCAUAAAAUAUUAAAAUGUAAAAUAAAGUGCUUGUUAUCACUGAAUGGUAAAGAUUGGUUGGUAGUAAAAGUGAAUAUACAUUGUUUAUUGUAUAAAACAAUAAAAAAAACUUCAUCAGCAACAUUUUAUAUUGGCAAAUUUCCAAUGAAGUUAUUUACAUAAAGUUAUUGGCAAAUAAAAAUAGAAAAUGACAUCAUAGUCAUGUCUGGCAAAUGUCCAACAUACAUUAUCUAAAAACAUUUUAGAUAAGAUAAGGAAAAAAAGCUUCAUCAGCAACAUUUUAUAUUGGCAAAUUUCCAAUGAAGUUAUUUUACAUAAAGUUAUUGGCAAAUAAAAAUAGAAAUAAAAAUAGAAAAUGACAUCAUAGUCAUGUCUGGAAAAUUUCCAACAUAUAUUAUCAACUACUAUUCUAUACAAAGAAAGAUAACUCCAAUUGAAAAAUUAAUUGCUAUUGCACAAUAUUGUGCAAUUAGAUAUUUCUUGCUAUUGUGCAAUACUGUGCAAUUGAAAAUUUCUUGCUAUUGCACAAUACUUGAUAUGGAAUCCUGAUUUGGACCAACUUGAAAACUUGGCCCAUAAUCAAAAAUCAAAGUACAUAUUUAGAUAAAGCAUAUCAAAUAAGCCCAAGAAUUUAAUUUUUGUUAAAAUCAAACUUAGUUUAAUUUUGGACCCUUUGGACCUUAAUGUAAACCAAUUUGAAAACUGGACCAAAAAUUAAGAAUCUACAUACACAGUUAGAUUUGGCAUAUCAAAGAACCCAUUUAUUCAAUUUUUGAUGAAAUCAAACAAAGUUUAAUUUUGGACCCCCAUUUGGACCAACUUGAAAACUAGGCCAAUAAUUAAAAAUCUAAGUACAUUUUUAAAUUCAGCAUAUCAAAGAACCCCAAGGAUUCAAUUUUUGUUAAAAUCAAACUAAGUUUAAUUUUGGACCCUUUGGACCUUAAUGUAGACCAAUUUGAAAACGGGACCAAAAAUUAAGAAUCUACAUACAUAGUUAGAUUCGGCAUAUCAAAGAACCCCAAUUAUUCAAUUUUUGAUGAAAUCACACAAAGUUCAAUUUUGGACCCUUUGGGCCCCUUAUUCCUAAACUGUUAGGACCAAAACUCCCAAAAUCAAACCCAACCUUCCUUUUUAUGGUCAUAAACCUUGUGUUUAAAUUUCAUAGAUUUCUAUUUACUUAUACUAAAGUUAUGGUGCAAAAACCAAAAAUAAUGCUUAUUUGGGCCCCUUUUUGGCCCCUAAUUCCUAAAAUGUUGGGACCAAAACUCCCAAAAUCAAUCCCAACCUUCCUUUUGUGGUCAUAAACCUUGUGUUAAAAUUUCAUUGAUUUCUAUUCACUUUACUAAAGUUAGAGUGCGAAAACUAAAAGUAUUCGGACGACGACGACGACGACGCAGACGACGACGCCAACGUGAUAGCAAUAUACGACCAAAAAAUUUAAAUUUUUGCGGUCGUAUAAAAAGGGAAAACUUUCAAAUUUUUAUUUGGUUGACUGGUGCUCAAACAAACUGUGAUAUACGAAUACUGUAAAUUAU